CAGCUGUGCUCAAGGGGUUUUCCAGAGCUUUCAGGUCAUUUCUUGUCUCUGUUGCCGACAGGAAAUUACCUAAAAUCCAGUGUUCACCUGAACCUCCCGGGGCAGUGCCUGAGAAGGAGCGAGGGGCCAGUGCUGCAGGUCAGACUGGACCCAUAAAGAAAAAUCUGCAGGUUUGAGACGUCGGUGGAGGACACAGACUGACCGUGCAUGCCAAAGUGUCCUGUCAGUAGUGCCAGGACUAGACGUCACUUAUGGAUGGCCUUCUGUGUGGUAAAAAUGCAGCGAAAGAUACAGACUGUGUUGUCCCCUGCGUUUCUGAUGCUUAAAAAGGUUGGUACUUGAAGCCCGGGUUUCCUGGGGCUAUCAGGGCAAAUGAGUCUCUCUCUUCACAGAAAACGUGUGUUUUUCAAGAGUUGUGUCACACAGAUGAAGCUG